rnacentral:rRNA from 1 species
AGGUGCUGCAUGGCUGUCGUCAGCUCGUGUUGUGAAAUGUUGGGUUAAGUCCCGCAACGAGCGCAACCCUUAUCCUUUGUUGCCAGCGAUUAGGUCGGGAACUCAAAGGAGACUGCCAGUGAUAAACUGGAGGAAGGUGGGGAUGACGUCAAGUCAUCAUGGCCCUUACGACCAGGGCUACACACGUGCUACAAUGGCGCAUACAAAGAGAAGCGACCUCGCGAGAGCAAGCGGACCUCAUAAAGUGCGUCGUAGUCCGGAUUGGAGUCUGCAACUCGACUCCAUGAAGUCGGAAUCGCUAGUAAUCGUGGAUCAGAAUGCCACGGUGAAUACGUUCCCGGGCCUUGUACACACCGCCCGUCACACCAUGGGAGUGGGUUGCAAAAGAAGUAGGUAGCUUAACCUUCGGGAGGGCGCUUACCACUUUGUGAUUCAUGACUGGGGUGAAGUCGUAACAAGGUAACCGUAGGGGAACCUGC